UACGGAGGGGGCUAGCGUUGUUCGGAAUUACUGGGCGUAAAGCGCACGUAGGCGGCUUUACAAGUCAGGGGUGAAAGCCCGCGGCUCAACCGCGGAAUUGCCCUUGAGACUGUAUCGCUUGAACACGGGAGAGGUGAGUGGAAUUCCGAGUGUAGAGGUGAAAUUCGUAGAGAUCCGGAAGAACACCAGUGGCGAAGGCGGCCCGCUGGGCAGUGGCUGACGCUGAGGCGCGACAGCGUGGGGAGCAAACAGG
rnacentral:rRNA from 1 species